rnacentral:rRNA from 1 species
GUCUAUAUCCAUGCCACCCUGAACGAGCCUGAUCCUGUCUGAUCUCAGAAGCAAAGCAGGGUAGGGCCUGGUUAGUAUUUGGAUGAGAGACCAUUUAAGAAGACCAGGUGCUGUAGGCA